GGGAGCGUGAACGGGCUGAGCUAUGGAAGAAGCCGCUCUGACAGUAUGGACGACAGUGACGUAAAGAGAGCCGAAGAUGCGUGAGGAGGUCACAACGCACCCGCACGUCACCUGCUGCCACCAGAUCCGACCAGACAGGUCCUCACCUGAGACUGAAUCUGAAUAUUAACAAACUUGACACUGAGGGAUACAGCUAAACCAGUUUCCAGGAUAUCAAACUCCCCACAGCUGACAGCGCUCAACCUGGCGAAGGAACAGACAUAAUGGUCAUGUAACACCGAGCAGAAAGGGUUAAUAUGACGCCUCUCCGCAUUACUGCUCCACGAGAUGAACUUGAAGAGUUCAAAUAAAGGGCUGAUGACUGGGAACUCCGAGCCAAGUACUAAUGAAGACACAGAUGAGGCCUGACACCAGAGAACACUACCUGCUAAUCCUCAGCUACAGAACCAACACACUACACUGAACUCAGCACAACUACAACACCUCCACUACACCGAACACAUCACCACUGCAACACCACCACUACACCGAACACAUCACCAC